rnacentral:rRNA from 1 species
UACGUAGGGGGCUAGCGUUGUCCGGAAUCAUUGGGCGUAAAGGGCGCGUAGGUGGCUCCGCAAGCGUGCGGUGAAAGUCGGGGGCUCAACCCCUGAUCGGCCGUGCGAACUGGGGGCUGGAGCACUGUAGAGGCAGGCGGAAUUCCGGGUGUAGCGGUGGAAUGCGUAGAGAUCCGGAAGAACACCGGUGGCGAAGGCGGUUCUCUGGGACGGUACUGACGCUGAGACGCGAAAGCGUGGGGAGCGAACAGG